AAUGGCCUUAUUGUUCGCGUGAAUUAAAAUUAUUAGACGUGAAAGGAAAAAUCAAAUAAUUAUGUAGAAGAAUAAAAUAUGAACAUGCAAAAGAGAUUGAUUCAAUUGACAAAAGAAAACAAUGGAUGAAUGGAGUUGUUGGGGGUUUACAAUUUCAUCUAAUUCGCUCUCUCUUAUCUACUCCUCUUGAAUUAUUAGUUUGAUUAAUUAAUUAUCAUGCAACUUUCUUAGCCUACCCUUAACCCGAUCCCUCGGCGAAAAGAUUCUAAUACUAAUUACUGGCUUGCUAUCCCUAGCCUCCCCUAGCAAUUAAUACAGCAUUAUAGAGCAGAAGUUAAAAGCAAUUGAUCAUCCUACCCCUAUCCCUAGGUGGUAUUGCAAAAUCAAGGAAUUACUCAC
rnacentral:lncRNA from 1 species